rnacentral:rRNA from 1 species
UACGAAGGGGGCUAGCGUUAAUCGGAAUUACUGGGCGUAAAGCGUGCGCAGGCGGUUAUGUAAGACAGAUGUGAAAUGCCCGGGCUUAACCUGGGAACUGCAUUUGUGACUGCAUGGCUAGAGUUUGGCAGAGGGGGGUAGAAUUCCACGUGUAGCAGUGAAAUGCGUAGAUAUGUGGAGGAACACCGAUGGCGAAGGCAGCCCCCUGGGUCAAGACUGACGCUCAUGCACGAAAGCGUGGGGAGCAAACAGG